AAUAAAAAAAAAUUGACCAAUGUCCUUUUGACAAGGUGAUUAGUUGAAGGACCUAUUCAAUAUAAACAGAUAAACUAUGUGUCAUUUUGGAGAAAAUGUAAGAAUUUAGAGAUACAGAUGUGUUCUUCCUCCAUUAUUUUUAAUUAUUAUAUUCUUUCACUGUAAAUUGUGUCAGAGAUACUGGCACAGUAACAAUGCAGCCCACCCUUGCUUUCUGUCAGUAACCGGUGAGCCGCAAUCUCGUACGGUGACUAGUUCAAACGGUUAAGUACAGUAAAUGUUGUGAUCUUGCCACGUUUACUGAUGCUGAUCACGUCGUAACAUUUUUACGUUACAGUUUGGUUUAUUGUGUACAAGAAAGUAGAUCAGGUACGGAAGGCUACGAUUCCGCUUUCUGCUUUUACCAUUAUUACCGUAUUCAAACUUCAAAGUCAAAGACGCAUCUACAAGCCCACUCUGAAAUUUAGUACGGUGAUAAAAUAAAAUAAAAACUAUAGUCUCCCUAAUU
rnacentral:lncRNA from 1 species